rnacentral:rRNA from 1 species
UACAGAGGGUGCGAGCGUUAAUCGGAAUUACUGGGCGUAAAGCGUGCGUAGACGGUUAUUUAAGUCGGGUGUGAAAGCCCCGGGCUCAACCUGGGAAUUGCAUUCGAGACUGAAUAGCUAGGGUACGGUAGAGGGAAGCGGAAUUUCCGGUGUAGCGGUGAAAUGCGUAGAUAUCGGAAGGAACAUCAGUGGCGAAAGCGGCUUCCUGGACCAGUACCGACGUCAGGCACGAAAGCGUGGGGAGCAAACGGG